UUUUUCUUUCUUAUUUUAAAUCACAUAAAUUUUUAUAAAAUAAUAUUGUACGUAAAUUAAUUUUAAUUUUAAUUUUAUUUUUUUAGCCACUCAUUUAAAAAAAAAAAACACUAUUUCACCAAUAUUUAUUUCUACAAAAUGGGGCAAACCGGGGGCUAAAUUUUGCUUCGAUUGUAUUAAAAGCUUCAAAGGUCCACCGCUAUACUAUCAUCUCUUAUCUCCUCAACUACCUCCAUCAACCGCGAGAUGGAAGCGACGCCGCUGCUUGAUCGGAGCUCCGACAACAAGGUACAGGUCAUCGGAGAGAACGGUGACUACCUGCCGAUAAGGGGGCUUAGUGCAUGGUGGAGUGUUUUCUGUAUAGAGACAGUGAAGCUAUGGAGAAUAGGCGGCCCCAUAGUGUUUCAAGUUCUUUGUCAGUAUGGAACUUACUCCGUCACCAACAUGUUUGUUGGCCAUCUUGGAGAUAUCGAACUCUCUGCCUUUUCCAUCACUCUUUCCGUUAUCUGCACCUUCUCUUUUGGCCUCCUGGUUAGCCCCUUCACACCACCGCCACCGCCACCACCACCGCCACCUAUUAUAUCUCAAUUUUGGUUUUAAAUUAAAAAAUUACGAAUAAUUUAUUUGUCAUUGACGAAUGUCCGUCUACAUACUUAAUAAUUUUUCACAUUAAAUGCACGAAAUCUGGGUGGUUCAUUUUCUAUCAUUAUAUUAGUCUUUGGAUUGGGUAGCAUAAUAGUCAGAUUUAUCGCUCCAGCUAGCUAGACAUGUUGCUAGAAAAAUGAUUGUUGGCAAUGAAUUUGAAAUAAAUUCCGUAACUGCGUUGGCAGAUACAUUAUGAAACUUUAAUGCCAUUUAGCCCCACUUGGUUUGCUAUCCCAGUUCAAGCAGCUUUAAUUAAAUGACUCAUUUAAUUUUACUUUUCCUUUAGCCUUAUCUUCUAGCACUACUUAGACUGGAUUGCAACCUCAAUGGCUACAUAGCAUUACUCUUCUUGAAAACUGAUAUUCUUUAAGAUACAAGUCUGAAAGGAUUUUGUAUAAGUUCCUUGUAAUUGUGUAAUCUGUUUUAUUUAAGAUACGUACAAGUCUAACUAAUUAGUCUAGUUCAUCCUAAAUAAUCUUGAAGCCGAAGAUCUGAUUAAAAAAACGUUUCAAACCCCUUAAAUGAAACAAUUCAAGUUUUCUGAAUUUGUUCUUGUGACAUAGACAAUACAUUUCGUAGGAUUCAAGACUACUACUACCAAUUUACUGUUUACACAUUAUGUAGGAUCCACAAUUUAUAAUCACUUAGAUCUAAUUUGAGCACUCCCAAGUAUGGUUAAACAGCGAUCUAAUAUGACUUCACAAAUGGCACCUUAUUUUGCUAUGUCUAGUUCGGUAUGGGGAGUGCCCUUGAGACGCUAUGCGGUCAGGCAUUUGGUGCUGGACAAAUUCACAUGCUUGGUAUUUACAUGCAACGCUCGAUAGUGAUCCUAACCAUCACUUGUGUCGUCCUGUUGCCACUAUACUUGUUUGCGACCCCAAUUCUGAAGCUACUUGGACAGGAGGAUGAUAUAGCAAAUCUUGCAGGGGUAUAUACGCUUCAGGUUAUCCCUCAAUUAUUUUCCCUUGCCAUCAGUUUCCCGGCUCAGAAGUUUCUUCAAGCCCAGAGUAAAGUUGCCGCUCUUGCGUGGAUAUCAUUUUCUGUAUUGGCUGCACAAGUUUUUCUAUGUUGGCUUUUUAUUCAAGCAUUUGGCUGGGGAGGAGCUGGUGCGGCUGCAGCAUUGGACCUUGCGAGUUGGCUUAUGGCCUUAGCACAAUUUGGUUAUGUGGUUGGUUGGUGCAAGGAUGGUUGGAAGGGAUUCUCAUGGUUCGCAUUUAGGGAUUUAUGGGCCUUCGUGAGACUCUCCCUUGAAUCUGCCGUCAUGCUAUGCCUCGAGGUGUGGUAUAUGAUGAGCAUCGUUGUACUUGCUGGACAUCUUGGCAAUGCCGUAACUGCAGUUGGUUCCCUUUCUAUUUGGUGAGCUUAAAUCAUAUUUUACAUCCUUCUAUAUAUCGUAGUGAUUUAAAAAUUGUGGAUUUCAUAUUUUGUGAGCUUUGUAAAAUGAGCUAUCAAUUUAAGUUAUUCAUCACUUUGAUAGCUUAUUUAUCAUUAAUAAUUCAAGGCAUAUAAAUCUACGAGAUCUAUCAUUGUUAUUUGACAAGUCACUUGAAUUUGUACUAAUCAUUUACCAUUUCAUCGUUUGUGAAAUUGUAAUCUUAUGUACUCCAAGCCUUAUCUUUUGUAUUAUCAUUUUCUUUUAAGAUGCUAAUAUUUUCUUUUGGUCAGCACGAGCAUUAAUGGGUGGGAAUCCAUGGCAUUCAUGGGAGUUAAUGCNGCUAUAAGGUAAAAGGCCAAAUGACGCUUAUCGAUACUUUUUUUACUUUGUUUUAAAUAAGCUAGAUUAUAACUUGAAUCGAAUGCAGUCGUCUUCUAGUAAUUUCCAUCCAUCGCCCUGUGCAUCUAUAUUGCCAGCACACAGAUACAUUUUUCACUUAAGAACAAUUUCUUCGAAAAAACAUUGUGCCCGGGAAAUGUUGUAUGUCCAAAUUAAUGGAACCUUAUGGAAAAUCGAAUUCAGCGUGCUUAAUGAAAAUUCAUUAAUAUUUCUUGGUCCUAAUUGAUUGAAGUAUCCAGGCAGGUUAGAGGACUAUUUGUGUUUAUCACGUUCAUAUGGUCAAAUGAUAUCUGUUAGUGAAUAGCUCUGCUUUUAACACUAGUUUGAUAAGUGAUUACAUAGCAUGAACUGCGAUUUAAGGUUAUCUUCCAACACAAAUUCAACUCAAAUGCUCCUCAUAAUAAAUUGCUGGAGGGUUCAUAAGUUUUAGAUCAUUCUAUUGUUUAUCGGGUUGCCAUAAGGGUUAAUGUUUUAUUUUUUUAUUACUAUUAUUAUUUUUUUAAAUUACUAGCCAUAUCAAUUUCAUGGUUCCAAUCUUUUAUGUUCCAGUGUUCGUGUCUCAAAUGAGCUUGGCUUAGGACGUCCAAGAGCAACCAAAUAUUGUGUCUAUGUCACAGUCUUUCAGUCACUCCUGAUUGGGAUUAUUUGCAUGAUUAUCGUCCUCGCUACAAGAAAUUAUUUAGGUCUUAUUUAUACAAAUAGCGAGAAUUUGAUACGUGCAGUUGCUCACCUUUCCGGCCUUCUUGGAAUUACAAUGCUUCUCAAUAGUGUCCAACCCGUGAUAUCAGGUACUGGUUAUUCGAUUUAAGUAUUUGUCUAUGCAAAUCAAAAUGGCUUUUUCAUCAUGUUUCCUUGAUCUUCCGGCUUAAUUAUGCAGGUGUUGCCAUUGGAGGUGGGUGGCAAGCUCUAGUGGCUUACAUCAAUUUGGGUUGUUACUACAUUUUUGGUCUUCCCCUCGGUUAUGUUCUUGGCUAUGUCGGUAAUUUUGGAGUGAUGGUAAGUAAAUUUUUACUUGAACCUCCAUAUUAUGCGAAUUUGCAUUUUAAACGAUUCUGGAUAUAAUUAGAACAAGAUAAUAGUGGCCUGAUUCUAUAAAAGCAUAACUUUUCCUCCGAAUCCAGCCUGUCAUCAAUCAUAAACUAACAGCCGGAACACCCCCUCAUCAAAAAAAUAAAUAAAUCUUAUUUAGUCUCCUACGUCAAAUUUCAACUUCAUUUAUAUUUGAAUUCUUUUUUGAGGAAAAUGCUGGAGUAACCGAAAUUUUUUUACUGAAGGGAUGACACUAUCUCACAUGCUGUUGGUCCCACAUAAAUUAAAAAAAUAAUUUCCACCCCUGUUCUUUCAUGGCCUCUGUCGGGCCAUAUGUUAGUGUAGAAAAGUCCAAUGAUUUAGUUUUCUUUAUAGGGACUCUGGGGUGGCAUGAUAGCCGGAGUAGGUUUGCAGACGCUGUUGCUCUUACUGGUACUGUACAAAACCAACUGGAACACGGAGGUUCGUAUUAAUGGUUUCUCUACAUUGCUCAUUUGUAGGAUGUGUACGGAUUUUAAGUGGCUUUUUGUAACGUGUUGGAUAAUUUUCUUUUUUAUAACUUAUAAGGUAAAAAAGGUCCCUCAACCUUACUGUUUGGAUAAACUUCUCUCAUUUCCAAUCGAUUAAAGUUGUUUUAAAACUUAAAAGUAAUACUUAACCAAAAAAACUCCUAAUACGUCGAGUAAAUGUUUCUUUUACUUGUCGAUGAUGAUGUUUAAAUUUGUAUGUGCGCACUCCUGGCAUGAUUUUCCAUUAUAGGAAGAUUUCUUUCAUGGGUUAUUUUGCAAUUCUUAGUUUCGUAGUUCCAUUUUGAUCAAUGUAUUAUCUUACCAACUACAAAUUGCAGGUUGAGCAAACAUCAGAGCGUAUGCGAAAGUGGGGAGGGCAAGACGUAAUUGACAAAUCACAUACUGACCAACUUCCUUCAAAAAAUGGAAUUCCUUAAUUGCACGCUUGGUCGCAUCACUGGCUAUGAUAUGACCAUAUAAUAAAUAAAGAUUUUUUUACUCCAACACAACGAUGCUUGAUGUUUUAAGAGAUUGGUUGCUCGUAUGUUUAAAUUUCGUUAUUGUAAUUUUGUGCUCAUUAGCCUGUGUUUCAUUUUCGAUUAUUUUAAGAAAGGUGAUUUUUUUUGGCAAGCAAAAGUGGUGAUUAAAAUGAAUAAAAUAAAUGUGGGUGACAGAUUAAUA
rnacentral:lncRNA from 1 species